rnacentral:rRNA from 1 species
UGGGGAAUAUUGCACAAUGGGGGAGACCCUGAUGCAGCGACGCCGCGUGAAGGAAGAAGUAUUUCGGUAUGUAAACUUCUAUCAGCAAGGAAGAUAAUGACGGUACUUGACUAAGAAGCCCCGGCUAACUACGUGCCAGCAGCCGCGGUAAUACGUAGGGGGCAAGCGUUAUCCGGAUUUACUGGGUGUAAAGGGAGCGUAGGUGGCAUGGCAAGUCAGAUGUGAAAGCCCGGGGCUCAACCCCGGGACUGCAUUUGAAACUGCCAGGCUGGCGUGCAGGAGAGGUAAGUGGAAUUCCUAGUGUAGCGGUGACAUGCGUAGAUAUUAGGAGGAACACCAGUGGCGAAGGCGGCUUACUGGACUGUAACUGACACUGAGGCUCGAAAGCGUGGGGAGCAAACAG